rnacentral:rRNA from 1 species
CACGUAGGGGGCGAGCGUUGUCCGGAAUCAUUGGGCGUAAAGAGCUCGUAGGCGGCUCAGUAAGUCGGGUGUGAAACCCCCAGGCUCAACCUGGGGACGCCACCCGAUACUGCUGUGGCUAGAGUCCAGUAGGGGAGUGUGGAAUUCCCGGUGUAGCGGUGAAAUGCGUAGAGAUGGGGGAGAACACUCGUGGCGAAGGCGGCCAGCUAGACCAGUUCUGACACUGAGGCGCGAUAGCGUGGGGAGCAAACAGG